UACGAAGGGGGCUAGCGUUGUUCGGAAUUACUGGGCGUAAAGCGCGCGCAGGCGGCUAUCCAAGUCAGUGGUGAAAGCCCGGAGCUCAACUCCGGAACUGCCAUUGAAACUGUUUAGCUGGAGUAUGAGAGAGGUGAGUGGAAUUCCCAGUGUAGAGGUGAAAUUCGUAGAUAUUGGGAAGAACACCAGUGGCGAAGGCGAGUCCCUGGACAACACCUGACACUGAGGCACGAAAGCUAGGGGAGCAAACAGG
rnacentral:rRNA from 1 species